UUGAGGUUCGCCACUAAUAUCAAUGUGACUUGUUGCAUUUUCCACACAGGCCUUCACUACAGCCUCUCCAAAAAAUCUGUAAAGACCUGUAGGGCCCUACACAGUUGAGAACAAUCUUCCCUUUCUUCGCCAUCUCACUGAGUGAGUUUGGAUCACUAAUAUCAGCCUGAAUGAUUCCAACAUUCUUGAGAGAUUUACCUGGAAGAAUUAAGCAACCAGGCUACAGAAAAAAAAAAUUGUUUUAACAUGACAGAACAGUAGAAUACCUGUUACUUUUCCAACAUUCUCUAUAAUGGCAUUCAAUUUUUCGCUGUUACGACCGGCGAUGGCCCAAGUGAUAUUUUCUUCAUCAGCAAUUCGUGCAACUUCUUCAG